rnacentral:lncRNA from 1 species
CUACCUUGGCCUCCCAAAGUGCUGGGAUUAUAGGGUGAGCCAUCGCGCCCGGCCCCUUUUGAUUUCUUUACAGAAUAUUGCUGUAGUAUAACUUUUUUCCAUGCACUUAAUUUUUGUUCCCUUGUUGGCAUAUUUCAUUUUCUUCCCUGAAAAUGGGUAGACUGAGAUAAGGUAUGAGGAAGCCUUGGCCAUGCCACCAGCCGCUUAUCCCAAAUUCCUGAUCCCUGGAAGACAUCUGGGCUCUCCCUCCUGUUCCAGCCCAGUAGCUUCCAGCAAAGGUACUGGCUCAAUUGGACACGGAGUGUGGAACUGCCUGCUCACACUUGUGAACCCCCGUCCAGAAGGAAGAAACAGAAAGGGCCCACCUUCCAGAGGCCGAGGUGGCUCCACCACAGCUUCUGUCCGGUGGUGACCAGCACUGAUCUCCGGAGCCAAGGGAGGACCCGGGACACCUGGGAGCCGGGAAAUGUUUUCCAUGGCUCCGAGACAAUGACACCGCUUCAGUGUGAACUCUCAUGAAUUGAGUCUAGAUCCCCAGUGCUGUCCGUCUCACCUGUCCUCCUCUACACAUAUCUGGGAUAUGUCACGGCUUGGUGGUCUUUGAAGAUGUGACUCUGAACUUCAUCCAGAAGGAGUAGGCUUUGCUGGAUUUUUCCGUGAAGAAUCUGUAGAGAUGUGAUGAGGGAAGCCAUCAGCACCUGGCUUCUAUAGCUGCAGCCCAAGAGGCCAACUGGAACGUUAACAUCAGACACUAAUCCAGCUGACUGGACACAAUUGGGAAAACUGGUUAUUUUACCAAGGCUUUAACUGGAAUGGUGUGCCUUCCUUUAAGGAAUCAAAUUUGACUUAUGGAGCCAAUAAAGCCCUUGGAAAGCUGGCCUCAGAUUUCAUGUACAGUCCCUGUACAGGGUUUCCGAUCUGUGGUAAGUAAAGAAUGUCACUUUCUGACAGGCCAGGAGUCCCAAGUUAUCUUAGAACCUCAAGAAGAGAGGAUUUCUCCCAACUCAUAGGUAUUCAGUGGUACAAAUCUAUGGCUGGCCUUGCCUUUAAAAAGGUCUUAUCUCACAUUCCUUCUACAAAACAAAGUUCCAUCAAAGCCAAUUUAAAGGACCUAAGUAACAAAUAAUUAUUCUUGCUCCACUGUAUGCAAAUAACUAAGCCAAGUAUAAUAAAGAAAAUCAGUCCUACUGGUAUGAUUUGUCUUUUAAUGAAAAUGGUAAACUUGAGAGAGAAAAUUAUGUUUCAAAAACGAUAGCACACAUGUUGUUAAAUCCUGGUGUUGCCUAAUGUUUUUCAAUUCUUACUAUUUUCUGUUUAAAUUAAAUUCUAAUUUUUCUGGCUACAAGUUUCCAAAAUAGCUGUGCUUUCUGAAAGCCCUAUAAACUGAAAACUUGAUGUUUCAGCAGGCGCUGCCUCUAAGCCCCCGACUCUCACCGGAGGAAAUAAAUAGGAAACCUUAAGCUAAAAUAAGUAACCAAGAGAGAAUUACUCAUCCUAUUCAGUCUCACCCCUACCUCAUCAAAUACUUUUAUCGUUCCUACCUCUCCUUUUAAGCCAAAUAUUAAAACUUUUUAAUGGAAAUUAUUUACUACGCCACCCGUGUGGGAAUUGCUUUACUCACUCUACUAUUUGCAGUAGGACUAUAUACUGUAGCACCCUCAGGGUAAAAUAUCAGACACAGAAUCUCAAUUACCAUAGCAUUUCGCUUAAUUAUUAUCCUCAUAGCGGGAAUAAUGGUUACUAACAGAAAAUAACACAUGGGCCUUUCCAAACCAGCACCUCUGCCUCUUAUUAGGAAAGGAAUGUUGUUUCUAUAUCAGCCAAUCAGACCUAGUAAAAAGCGCUAUUAAAAAAAACAAGCUAAAAAGCUAAGGAGUACCAAAACAAACAAACAGAUUCUUGGUUUGGGAACAAAAUCAUAGAUAGCAUGGGUCAUCCCAUUCCUGGGCCCUCUCCUAAUAAUAUACCUAAUUAUGGGACUAAUGUUCUUACCCUGCCUAAUUAACCUUUUUCAGAGAUUUUUUAAACUGACAGGAUCAUGGCCAUUUCACAGACAACUACCCAAAAAUAUCUACAGACGGCACUGCUCCUACCAACCCGAUACCAGAGAACUCUCUGUCCCCUCGUCAGCAGGAAGUAGCCAGAAAGAACAUGCCGCCCCUCGUCCUUUUUAUAACUAUGAGGUCUGGAUUGACAGAGCAGAAGCAUCACCAUUGUGGAUAAGCGCCUCAUUUUAAAAUUCACCUUAAUCAAAAACUGCCUAAAUCCAAAGGGCAUCAGCCUAAUGGCUAAGGUCAGCAUGAUCACAAACCACAAAUAACAUCUCCAACCAAAAACAUUCCAGACACCUCCCACAGAGAAAUGCUAGCCUCGGGAUAACCCCUCUCCUGCCGGAAAGAUGUCACCCCCAAGAUAACCACCCCUCCGCCCAGAACAUUCCAACCCUGCCACAAACUUCUCCCCCACACAGAAACAUUCCAAGCUUGUAAUAAGCUCCCUCACCCUAAAACCAACGUACAUUCUUAGUCUGCAAGGAAAAGUGCUCCUGACUGACCAGCCAGAAUCCUCUCUCAGGUCUUUUCUAUAAUAAACCUGUCUUUGACUGUCAA